rnacentral:rRNA from 1 species
GGGUUGUGAGGUUAAGCGACUAAGCGUACACGGUGGAUGCCCUGGCAGUCAGAGGCGAUGAAGGGCGUGCUAAUCUGCGAUAAGCGCCGGUAAGGUGAUAUGAACCGUUAUAACCGGCGAUACCCGAAUGGGGAAACCCAGUGUGACUCGUCACACUAUCAUUAACUGAAUCCAUAGGUUAAUGAGGCGAACCGGGGGAACUGAAACAUCUAAGUACCCCGAGGAAAAGAAAUCAACCGAGAUUCCCCCAGUAGCGGCGAGCGAACGGGGAGGAGCCCAGAGCCUGAAUCAGCAUGUGUGUUAGUGGAAGCGUCUGGAAAGGCGCGCGAUACAGGGUGACAGCCCCGUACACAAAAGCGCAUGUGCUGUGAGCUCGAUGAGUAGGGCGGGACACGUGGUAUCCUGUCUGAAUAUGGGGGGACCAUCCUCCAAGGCUAAAUACUCCUGACUGACCGAUAGUGAACCAGUACCGUGAGGGAAAGGCGAAAAGAACCCCGGCGAGGGGAGUGAAAAAGAACCUGAAACCGUGUACGUACAAGCAGUGGGAGCCCCACCACCAAAGCAUUUGCUGUACCGCGUUGACGGAGCGAAGCGACGUCAAACCGAUAAAACAGCAGUGUAAAGUGAGCCGCAGGGCGCUUUGCGCGACAGCGCAAAGGCAGGCGGUUUCGCGUAGCGAAAGCGAAUGCUUUGGGGUGGGGUGACUGCGUACCUUUUGUAUAAUGGGUCAGCGACUUAUAUUCUGUAGCAAGGUUAACCGAAUAGGGGAGCCGGAGGGAAACCGAGUCUUAAUUGGGCGUUAAGUUGCAGGGUAUAGACCCGAAACCCGGUGAUCUAGCCAUGGGCAGGUUGAAGGUUGGGUAACACUAACUGGAGGACCGAACCGACUAAUGUUGAAAAAUUAGCGGAUGACCUGUGGCUGGGGGUGAAAGGCCAAUCAAACCGGGAGAUAGCUGGUUCUCCCCGAAAGCUAUUUAGGUAGCGCCUCGUGAAUUCAUCUCCGGGGGUAGAGCACUGUUUCGGCUAGGGGGCCAUCCCGGCUUACCAACCCGAUGCAAACUGCGAAUACCGGAGAAUGUUAUCACGGGAGACACACGGCGGGUG